GCCGCGGUAGCUCAGUGGCAGAGCUCUCGCCUGAAGAGCGAGGAGUCGUCAGUUCGAUUCUGACCCGCGGCA
rnacentral:tRNA from 6 species